rnacentral:rRNA from 1 species
GACGAACGCUGGCGGCGUGCUUAACACAUGCAAGUCGAGCGGUAAGGCCCUUCGGGGUACACGAGCGGCGAACGGGUGAGUAACACGUGGGUGACCUGCCUCUAGCUCUGGGAUAAGCCUGGGAAACUGGGUCUAAUACCGGAUAUGACUCCACGGCGCAUGUUGUGGGGUGGAAAGCCUUGUGUGGCUAGAGAUGGGCCCGCGGCCUAUCAGCUUGUUGGUGGGGUGAUGGCCUACCAAGGCGACGACGGGUAGCCGGCCUGAGAGGGCGACCGGCCACACUGGGACUGAGACACGGCCCAGACUCCUACGGGAGGCAGCAGUGGGGAAUCUUGCGCAAUGGGCGAAAGCCCUGACGCAGCGACGCCGCGUGAGGGAUGACGGCCU